UGAAACUGAGGCUGAAGGCUUUCUCUUUUUUUAAAAAAGAUUUUAUUUAUUUUUUCAUAAGAGACACACAGAGAGAGGCAGAGACACAGGCAGAGGGAGAAGCAGGCUCCAUCCCGGGAGCCUGACAUGGGACUCGAUCCUGGGUCUCCAGGAUCAUGCCCUGGGCUGAAGGCAACACUAAACCGCUGAGCCACCCGGGCUUUCUUGAUGCAAGGCAUUGGUGUGGUUUAUGGAACUGACCCAUGCAGUUCAGACUUACCCUGGUCUUUGACUUCCAGUAAUGUAUCUCAUUGGUUCAAGAGAGAAAGACAAAAGAAAUAUGUUAUCUAUCUAUCCAUCUAUCCAUCCAUCCAUCAUCUAUCUACCUACCUACCUACCCACCUACCUACCUACCUACCUAGAGAGAGAAUAACUUUCACAUGCUAUCUUCCAUACUCUUCACUCCUUCUAUUUUAAAGAUGAUGUUAAAUGAGGCUCAGAGAAGUUAAGUGACUUGCCCCAAACCACACAGUUGCUGUCAGACCAGCAGCAGAUUUAAAUCCUGCUCUUUCAAACAAUAUCAGGCUUUCUGGAUCUUGACUUGGCACAAUUGACCUUGGGGGCCAAAUAAUUCCAUGUGUGGACAGCUGUCCUCUGCCCUGCAGGGUGCUCAGCAGAAGCUCUGGCCCCUCCUCACGAGAUGCCAAGAACAUUCCCCACCCCAGGCUGUGACAAUGAAAAACAAUGAAAAACAGACAUUAUCAAACUUUCCCUGAGGGACAAAGUCACCCUGGCUGAGAACCACUGCUACAAAUGAAUGAUGGAAACCAAGGCUUUGUCUCUAACCAGCCAAAUGGCUGUUGGGUCAAUAGUUCAUCUCCCUGAACUCCAGUUUCCUUAUCUAUAAAAUGGGAUCAAAACCCUAACGCCCCCCUUUGUGACACAGGCAGGACAUUUAGCCUCCGCCUGGUAGCCCAUAAAUGGUGACCAAGGCAGUCUCUCUCACCAACUUGGAUAUAAUCUUACAGAGAGAAGUUUUUUUUUUUUUUUUUUUGGCACAUUAUAGACACUGAAUUGCAAAUGAGGACAGGCAUUUGAGGCUGCUCUGCUUGCCUAAUUAGUACAACUCCAUUGACAGCCCUGGCUCCUUCAAAGGACGCUCCUUGGGACGUGGGCCCUCUGCAGAGCUGGCUGGGAACUUGGAACAGAGUCAGAUGUCCAACAUCAAACGUUCUGAAGCUCAGAAAUGAGGCCGUGUUCUCCAAUAGGGAGCUGUCUCUGUAAACGUUCCCAUGCUUAUUAAAUUCCUGCGGUGGCCACUGUAAUUGGGCCCGCCUCCCUCACUUGGCUAACCCUGGCUGCACAGCCCAGCACUGGGUUUGUCUCCAAAGCAGAAAUCCCAACCAGGAGUGCCCGCAUCCGUCUUUCUCAGGUCCCGGAGGAGGACGUCUCCUGUGUGCUCGCCUGCCUUUCCCAUUCCCUAAGCCAGCUUCAUCGACAGCCACAGCUCCCUGCCCGAAGGUGCUAGAAUGAAGCCGCCCUCCCUGACUGCACAUCUUCUGUCCCUCCCUGUCCACCUCCGUGUCCCCUGUGCCCAGCACCUGACCUGACACAGAGUAGCAGAUCAGCAAGUGCUGAAUGAACCAGUGACUGAAUGGUGCUGAGUCUCACCCCCUGACCUCACAAUACCCAUCAGAUGCUGGAUCUAGGACCCCAGAUACAAAGCCUGGGGACCCAGGUGGCCUCUGCUUCUCCUGAGCUCCCCACCUCAUCAGAGGUCACAAUUUGAUGGUCUGCAUGCGACUGCAAUUUAUCUAGCCAGACUGAUGUUUUGAGGAACAGGUCAUUGGACUAUUUGGGGGUAGGGCUCACAUUCCCCAGUUUGUUCUAGUCUCGGUCACUGCAGAGCCACACCUCCAAUCAUUUUUGCUUCCUGCCAGCAAGGAAGGAAGCAAAAAUGAUGCCUUAGGCUCCAGGCAUCUGAGUUGGGAUCUGUGACAGGACAAGAUCUCCUCACAGCUGAUGAUCAACAAGGACUGAAGAGAGACAAGUGAACCUGAUCAUAAGGGUCCCAUAGCAGCUUUCCCUUCACUCUUGACCUUGACUCUGAUUCUUCCAAAUAGCACGGUCUGAGAGCAGAUCUCCCAGAACUAUGGAAACUGGCUUCUAGGGAACCCAGAAACUGAGCAUCAAAUCCAAUUUGGACACCUAGACUCUAGCACUUCAUUGAUCAAACGUAGAGUGAACACACGCUGGAUGGGGUGUCAGGGUCUAUGAAGAGAUGGCCAGGCAGCGGGAACGCUGCUGGGAUGGGCUCUGUGUCUCCUGGAGUCAUGUUUUUCCCCCCUACCCCUUCCCCUACCACCUCUUUCCUGUCUUCCUGCCUUUCCUCUUUCUCUCCUCAAUUCUGCCUCCCUUUCUCUCUCUCUCUCUCUCUCUCUCUCUCUAUCUCUAUCUCUAUCUCUCUCUCUCUCUCUCCCUCUCUUCCAAAAAUACUUAGGAGCAUUUUCUGCUUGGUACUAAAGUCCUGUUUGUGGUGCUGGAAGACUCACAGCAAUGAAGAAGGUGUUUCAUACAAUUUAAAGAUUCUUUUGAUGGCCGGGCACAGCACACUGGCACUUGGCGAGAUGAAAGGCAGAGGUCUUUCUUACUCACAGCUCCAUGGGAGACAAGUCUGCCAGGCAGGACGACGUGGAGAUGCAUGGGGACAGGGGAACAGCAAGCCAGAGCGACAGGGGAAGCAGCUUGAGUCUGGCAGAAACACUCACUGAAGGCUAAACCAGCAAAGAGUGAAGGCAAAGAGUGACAUUCAGAGUGAGCAGGCUGCAACGACGGGUCCGUCUGUCCCAAGUCCUGGCCGAGCUGGCCAGAGUGGGUCCUGCCAGCUGAAGACCCAGCAGUGGAGCAGACUGGUCCUCAGGGCCACGUGGAACCAGUCCUUGGAAAUCCAUGACCGCUGGCAGGGGAGGAUGGACUAGAGCCCCCAUCUAACUCCACCUGGGGAAGGUGGGGACCCCCUGAAGACCUGGGAGAGGGGUUUGGGAGGACGAGAUGCUCACACACGGACAACACGGAUGCUUUAUGCAGAGGCAGCUUGAACGGUUUCUUUUAUGGAGUCAUCCGUGGGCUACUGAAAGCCCCCUCAAGCCACAUUGCUUGAAAAUCCACAUGAGCAUCUCUACUUAAUUACUUUUGUUGGCAGGUGCAUUUUCUCAGAAUUAAGGCAUUAUGUCCCCCAAGAGGGAUUACAUAAUAACUCCUGGAGGAUGAACUACACGGAUUAAAGGGGAUUGUUAAGAUCCAAGUGUAGUCCCAAGUUGCCAUUGUUCUGUGGAGGAAAAUAUGAUCACCCAGGACAUAGACCAUUAGAGAAAAGUUAGCUGACAUCUAAGCAGAACCCAAGUGCAUAUCCCUCCCACUGACUCUUGGCAACACCCAGCGGAUCUUCGUGGAUAUUCAUACAUGUUGUCUAAGGUGUGGAUGAUACGUUGACCCGGCAUGCUUUUUGUCCAAAUUUCCCGGGACAGUCUUAAGAAGUUCUUUCAUUAAUUCACUGAUGGGUUAUUUUAGUCAAUAAACACCUACGAAGAACUGUAUUGUGCGUGAUAGACCCUCAAGACACCACAAUAAUCAGAGCCCCAACAACAGAGACUUCCUAGCGUGGAAGGGCAGACAGACAUGACACAAAGAGGCACGUGGUUGAGUGCACACAGCAUAAGGGUUAGCUUCAGGUAAGAGUGGAUCAAUGUGGGCUUGGUCCUUCUGUAUCUCCAUGUCUUACUGUGCUUUCCUGUGACCAGCUCUACUCUUAGCCACUUUAUGAUCAUGCAGUGUCCCCCGGUAGCUUCUGGCUGACACGGAUCUACCUGGUUUAGCCAUUCCCAUGGAGUGUCUCUCCUCAUUCCUGUAAAAGGCUGACUGUCCUUGGAUGGACUCCAUUGAGGGGUGGAGUGGAGGGUGAUACUGGCUGCUUGGGCUCGUUCUGCAUUACACGGCCUCCCCAAGAGCUCAGAAAGAAGGGGUAUGGUCAGUCCCACUUAUACUGCUGGAUACAAUGUGUUUAGAACUGGGUGGCUGGCUGAUUCUGUCCAUUAAGUGUCUGCCUUUGGCUCAGGUGAUGACCUCAGGGUCCUGGGAUGGAGCCCCAAGUCGGGUUCCUUGCUCAGACCUCUGCCUCUCCCUCUUGCUCUGCCUCUCUCCUUCUGCAAGGGCUCAGUCUCACUAUCAAAUAAAUAAAUAAAAUCUUUAAAAAAUAAAUAAAAAAUAAAAUAAAAGCUGGUUCCCUAAAAAAGUGGGGCACAACUCCCAGCUUGCCAUGCAAAGAUAUCUACAUUAACAGGUACAGGGAAGACCUUCUGGGGAAUGGCCAUGGGGUCCUUUGUGAGUGCACCUGGCUCCUGCCUGCCAUUUUUUAAUCUUGUCAUCCUCAUUGGCCAACUCUACAAGUGGCUCUUCCUCAUCUCUGUCUGACACCUGUCACCCCUCCUCUCAGCCUGACCCACUUGUUGGGAUUCAAGCUUGUGACACCGAUCGAGUCUUGCUCCUAUUAACACCUGUGCAACCAUUCUAAUGCAAUGCUGAGUGGAUCCAGGGUGACACCAGGACAGUUCCCAGUGGUGUGAGCAAUGGUUUGACAUUACUGGGAGUCAUCCCAUCACACAACGUUGCUUGGGGUAAAAACAGCAGGAAUGUAAAGAAAAAAAAAACAUGGUGCCAUGUUAUGUGCCAACUUCUAUAUCCCCAAACAGCAUCCUUUGGAGCAACUCUAAAUACUGUAACUGGGCAGCCCAGGUGGCUCAGCGGUUUAGCGCCACUUUCAGCCCAGGGCGUGAUCCUGAAGUCCCAGGAUCGAGUACCGCGUCAGGCUCCUGCAUGGAGUCUGCUUCUCCCUCUGCCUGUGUC